GUGGAUUAGAUACCCUGGUAGUCCACGCCGUAAACGAUGGAUGCUAGCCGUUGGCCGGUUUACCGGUCAGUGGCGCAGCUAACGCUUUAAGCAUCCCGCCUGGGGAGUACGGUCGCAAGAUUAAAACUCAAAGGAAUUGACGGGGGCCCGCACAAGCGGUGGAGCAUGUGGUUCAAUUCGACGCAACGCGAAGAACCUUACCAGCUCUUGACAUGUCCAGGACCGGUCGCAGAGAUGUGACCCUCUCUUCGGAGUCUGGAACACAGGUGCUGCACGGCCGUCGCCAACU
rnacentral:rRNA from 1 species